CAUCUUGUUUCUCUUCAGAUAAUAUAAAUCUUUCAUUUACUAAAGAUUUCCGUGGAGAGGAACAACAAGAGUUUACCCCAUUUUCGGGGGAAUGGCGGCC
rnacentral:snRNA from 1 species